rnacentral:rRNA from 1 species
UAAGACGAACUGUGCGAACGUUAUUCGGAAUCACUGGGCUUACAGGGUGCGUAGGCGGCCAGGUAAGUAGGGUGUGAAAUCCCCCGGCCCAACCGGGGAACUGCGCUCUAAACUACCUGGCUUGAGUGAGCUAGGGGUCCACGGAACUUCCAGUGGAGCGGUGAAAUGUGUUGAUAUUGGAAGGAACACCGGAGGCGAAAGCGGUGGACUGGGGCUUAACUGACGCUGAGGCACGAAAGCCAGGGGAGCGAACGGGAUUAGAUACCCCGGUAGUCCUGGCCGUAAACGAUGAGCACUGGGCGGGAGGAGGUUCGCCUUCUCCGGCCGUAGCGAAAGCGUUAAGUGCUCCGCCUGGGGAGUAUGGUCGCAAGGCUG